ACUCAGUGACUUGGAUUUUCCAAGUCUCCAACCGAGAAGUUUUCCUCACUCGGAAAAUUAAGGGAACACUACCUCAACCUACAUGCUCCACUCACAAAGCUUCAACAUACAAGCUUCAACAAAAGAAAAUUCAAAAAACUUAGCGAAGAAGGCUUUGGUGUAUUUAACACAAUACGUUGAAAUGAAGGAAAGCUUAUUUAUUGAUAUCCCCGAU
rnacentral:lncRNA from 1 species